GAUGAACGCUGGCGGCGUGCCUAAUACAUGCAAGUCGAGCGAACGGACGAGAAGCUUGCUUCUCUGAUGUUAGCGGCGGACGGGUGAGUAACACGUGGAUAACCUACCUAUAAGACUGGGAUAACUUCGGGAAACCGGAGCCAAUACCGGAUAAUAUUUUGAACCGCAUGGUUCAAAAGUGAAAGACGGUCUUGCUGUCACUUAUAGAUGGAUCCGCGCUGCAUUAGCUAGUUGGUAAGGUAACGGCUUACCAAGGCAACGAUGCAUAGCCGACCUGAGAGGGUGAUCGGCCACACUGGAACUGAGACACGGUCCAGACUCCUACGGGAGGCAGCAGUAGGGAAUCUUCCGCAAUGGGCGAAAGCCUGACGGAGCACCGCCGCGUGAGUGAUGAAGGUCUUCGGAUCGUAAAACUCUGUUAUUAGGGAAGAACAUAUGUGUAAGUAACUGUGCACAUCUUGACGGUACCUAAUCAGAAAGCCACGGCUAACUACGUG
rnacentral:rRNA from 1 species